rnacentral:rRNA from 1 species
GUGGGGAAUCUUGCGCAAUGGGCGAAAGCCUGACGCAGCCAUGCCGCGUGAAUGAUGAAGGUCUUAGGAUUGUAAAAUUCUUUCACCGGGGACGAUAAUGACGGUACCCGGAGAAGAAGCUCCGGCUAACUUCGUGCCAGCAGCCGCGGUAAUACGAAGGGGGCUAGCGUUGCUCGGAAUUACUGGGCGUAAAGGGCGCGUAGGCGGACAGCUUAGUCAGAGGUGAAAGCCCAGGGCUCAACCUUGGAAUUGCCUUUGAUACUGGCUGUCUUGAGUUUGGGAGAGGUGAGUGGAACUCAGAGUGUAGAGGUGAAAUUCGUAGAUAUUCGGAAGAACACCAGUGGCGAAGGCGACUCACUGGCCCAAUACUGACGCUGAGGCGCGAAAGCGUGGGGAGCAAACAGGAUUAGAUACCCUAGUAGUCC